rnacentral:rRNA from 1 species
UUUCCCGGUUGAUCCCCGCUGACCCGACUGCUAUUUGGGUGAGAAUAAGCCAUGCGAGUCGAAUGGGAUACCUAAACUUCCCAUGGCAAACUGCUCAGUAACACAUGAUCAACUUAACCUAUAGAGAAAAAUAAUCUCGGGAAACUGAGGAUAAUGUUUCAUAGUUGAAUCGGCUUGGAAAAGUUUUUCAAUCAAAAGGAUAAGAAAAAUGGUUCUUAUUCGCUAUAGGAUAGGAUCGUGGACGAUUAUGGUUGUUGGUGAGGUAACGGCUCACCAAGCCGAUAAUCGAUAGGGGCCGUGAGAGCGGGAGCCCCGAGAUGGGUACUUAGACAACGACCCAGGCCUUACGAGGCGCAGCAGGCGCGGAACCUCCGCAAUACACGAAAGUGUGACGGGGUUACCCAAAGUGUUCAGUUUUGGACUGUGGUAGGUGAGUAAUGUUCCCUACUAGAAAGGAGAGGGCAAGGCUGGUGCCAGCCGCCGCGGUAAAACCAGCUCUUCAAGUGGUCGGGAUAAUUAUUGGGCUUAAAGUGUCCGUAGCCGGUUUAGUAAGUUCCUGGUAAAAUCGGGUAGCUUAACUAUCUACAUGCUAGGAAUACUGCUAUACUAGAGGGCGGGAGAGGUCUGAGGUACUACAGGGGUAGGGGUGAAAUCUUAUAAUCCUUGUAGGACCACCAGUGGCGAAGGCGUCAGACUGGAACGCGCCUGACGGUGAGGGACGAAAGCCAGGGGAGCGAACCGGAUUAGAUACCCGGGUAGUCCUGGCCGUAAACGAUGCAUACUAGGUGAUGGUGUGGCCAUGAGCCGUAUCAGUGCCGUAGGGAAACCGUUAAGUGUGCCGCCUGGGAAGUACGGUCGCAAGGCUAAAACUUAAAGGAAUUGGCGGGGGAGCACCACAAGGGGUGAAGCCUGCGGUUCAAUUGGAGUCAACGCCGGA